rnacentral:rRNA from 1 species
GUAGGGGGCAAGCGUUGUCCGGAUUUAUUGGGCGUAAAGAGCGUGUAGGCGGCCAGGCAGGUCCGUUGUGAAAACUGGAGGCUCAACCUCCAGACGUCGAUGGAAACCGUCUGGCUAGAGUCCGGAAGAGGAGAGUGGAAUUCCUGGUGUAGCGGUGAAAUGCGCAGAUAUCAGGAAGAACACCCGUGGCGAAAGCGGCUCUCUGGGACGGUACUGACGCUGAGACGCGAAAGCGUGGGGAGCGAACAGGAUUAGAUACCCUGGUAGUCCACGCCGUAAACGAUGGGCGCUAGGUGUGGGAGGUGUCGACUCCUCCCGUGCCGCAGCCAACGCAUUAAGCGCCCCGCCUGGGGAGUACGGCCGCAAGGCUAAA